GUCAGGGUGGCCGAGUGGUCUAAGGCGCCAGACUCAAGAACCGAGGUUCUUCGCCGACAUGAGGUGUUGAGUAUUCUGGUCUCCGAAUGGAGGCGUGGGUUGGAAUCCCACUUCUGACA
rnacentral:tRNA from 1 species